GUGCUAAGAUGCAUCUCUUCAUCGUCGGGUCGACGAUGCAAACCGGGGGGGUAGAAUGUGGCAUGACCGGCUUUGAGGGUCUAGGCUGCAGGUGCUCUUACCUGGCGUUCCGUGGCGCUGCGCUGGUGGGCUAUUUAAGCGCUCCCUUCUCAGUCGUUCCCCCUUUUGGCUCACACGCUCUUCCGGGCCUCUCCUUGUGGCCGCUCUGUCCUCCCGCUCAGGUAACUUCAUUUUGUAACUUCCAUGGCCGUUAUAUCCAAAUUUCCAUCCACGUCUCUUUUUAGUGCCGCUGCUUGGCCACUGCUUGGUCGGUGCUCUGCACCGCAUCAGUCCCUCGCUCCUCCGAGUCGCGGAGCACCUAGGGCGCGCUUUCAUCUCCUCUGACCAAGCUCCACGGGUAAGACGAGUGAAUCCCUCCCCAUUGCGCUUGGCUGUGCGCCGCCGUGUCCCGUAAACUGCGGCGGCAGGUAACCAAGACCCUAUUCCCACGUGCUACCUGUGCCAAACAAUUCUCAAAAUUGUCUGUUUGUAGCGUGUGCUGGUCCACGUGUUUGGACCACGUCUGGACGGUGUUAUUCUGUGUAGUCGCAUUCAGCCGGGGAUUGCGCACUGUCACACUCAACCACGGUAUGUUUGGCCCAGAUCCUUACGCUGCAGGCGCUGAGUUUAAUCCCAAAAUUUAACUUUUCAGGUGUCGGCGGGGGCCUGCAGCGGCGUGAGGACACCACCUCUGCUGUUUUGCUUUUAGUUUUAUUUUGUUUCGCUUUUAGUUUUAUUUUGUUUUGCUUGUAGUUUUAUUUUGUUUUGCUCUUAGUUUUAUUUUGUUUCGCUUUUAGUUUUAUUUUGUUUUGCUCUGUUUUGUGUGUUGUGUUCUGUUUGCUUUGUUUCAGUUUUGCUUUGGGUUUUGGGGUUUUUGUUUUGCAUUUUCAAUAUUGUGUACCUAUUCACCCACUGUAAUGUUUUACUGGUUGCCUAUUUUUAUGAAUGUAGCUACUUUUAGCAUUUAAAUCUGUCUUAUAAAACAACAGAAAAUCAAUAAAGAUUGUGUAAUUGAUGGAA